rnacentral:lncRNA from 1 species
AGGAGGUCCAGGGGGGACGUUCUUCGGUCUAAGUUGGAGGUAUGGUGGUGGUGGAUCUCCGUGGGGUUGUAUCUUCAUCCUAAGAUGGUGGUGGACCUCCAUCAGGAUGUAUUUUCGUCCUAAAUUGGAGUGGAUCUGCUGCGACAUCCGCUACCUGGACGUCAGCAUCCUGGGCAAGUUCGCGGUGGUGAUGGCCGACCCGCCCUGGGACAUCCACAUGGAGCUGCCCUACGGCACGCUGACCGACGACGAGAUGCGGCGCCUCAACAUCCCCGUCCUGCAGGACGAGGGCUUCCUCUUCCUCUGGGUCACCGGGAGGUGAGUGGGGGGACACCUCCAGGUCCUCUGUGGGUGGAGGUCCUCUUGGAGGUCCUCCUUGGGUGGAGCUCUUGGAGGUUCUCCUUGGUGGAACUCUUGGAAAUCCUCUUUGGUUGGACCUCUUGGAGGUUCUCCUGGAGGUUCUUUUGGAGGUCUUCCUUGGUUGGGAUCUCUUGGAGGUUCUCUUGGAGAUCCUCUUUGGUUGGAUCUCUUGGAGGUUCUCUUGGAGGUCUUCCUUGGGUGGAACUCUUGGAGGUCAUCUUGGAGGUCCUCCUUGGGUGGAGCUCCUGGAGAUCCUCGUUGGUUGGGCCUCUUGGAGGUUCUCCUGGUUUGGACCUUCUGGAGGUUCUCUUGGAGAUCCUCUUUGAUUGGAUCUCUUGGAGGUUCUCCUUGGUUGAACCUCUUGGAGGUUCUUUUGGAGGUCUUCCUUGGUUGGAUCUCUUGGAGGUCCUCCUGGAUUGGACCUUCUGGAGGUCAUCUUGGAGGUCUUCCUUGGUUGGACCUCUUGGAGGUUCUCUUAGAGGUUUUUGGUUGGCCUCCAGGAGGGUCUCCUAGAGGUUCUCCUUGGUUGGAUCUCUUGGAGGUUCUCCUGGAUUGGAUCUCUUGGAGGUUCUCUUGGAGAUCCUCUUUGGUUGGAUCUCUUGGAGGUCUCCUUGGUUGAACCUCUUGGAGGUUCUUUUGGAGGUCUUCCUUGGGUGGAACUCUUGGAGAUCCUCCUUGAUUGAACCUCCUGAAGGUUCUCCUAGAGGUUCUCCUUGGUUGGAUCUCUUGGAGGUCCUCUUGGAGAUCCUCUUUGGUUGGACCUCUUGGAUUGGACCUCUUGGAGGUUCUCUUGGAGGUCCUCUUUGGUUGGUUCUCUUGGAGAUCCUCCUAAUUUGGGCCUCCAGGAAGUCCUCUUGAAGGUCAACCUGGAUUGGACCUCUUUGAGGUUCUUUUGGAGGUUCUCCUUGGUUGAACCUCUUGGAGGUCAUCUUGGAGGUCUUCCUUGGUUGAACCUCUUGGAGAUCCUCUUUGGUUGGAUCUCUUGGAGGUCAUCUUGGAGGUCCUCCUUGAUUGGCCUCCUAAUUUGGGCCUCCAGGAGGUUCUUUUGGAGAUCCUCCUGGAUUGGACCUCUUGGAGAUCAUCUUGGAGGUCUCCCUUGGUUGGCCUCCAGGAGGUUCUCUUGAAGGUCAACCUGGAUUGGACCUCCUGGAGGUCCUCCUGGAGACCCUUUUUAAUUAACCUCCCUAAUUGGACCUCCAGGAGCUCCUUUUUUAAUUAACCUCCCUAAUUGGACCUCCUGGAGGUCCUCCUGGUGGACCUCCAUGGUUGACCUCCUGGAGGUCCUCCAGGAGCUCCUUUUUAAUUAACCUCCCUAAUUAGACCUCCAGGAGCUCCUUUUUUAAUUAACCUCCUUAGUUAGACCUCCAGGAGCUCCUUUUUAAUUAACCUCCUUAAUUGGACCUCCUGGAGGUCCUCCUGGUGGACCUCCAUGGUUGUCCUACUGGAGGUCCUCCUGGAGUUCCUCUUUAAUUAACCUCCUUAAUUAGACCUCCAGGAGCUCCUUUUUUAAUUA